CACGUAGGGGGCGAGCGUUGUCCGGAUUUAUUGGGCGUAAAGAGCUCGUAGGCGGCUCGGUAAGUCGGGUGUGAAAACUCUAGGCUCAACCUAGAGACGCCACCCGAUACUGCUGUGGCUAGAGUCCGGUAGGGGAGCAUGGAAUUCCUGGUGUAGCGGUGAAAUGCGCAGAUAUCAGGAGGAACACCAGUGGCGAAGGCGGUGCUCUGGGCCGGUACUGACGCUGAGGAGCGAAAGCUAGGGGAGCGAACAGG
rnacentral:rRNA from 1 species